UUUUCUUCCUUUUUUAUCUUUUCUGCAGCCACUCGAGACGCUGCAGCCCAGCCUGUUUAUCUUGUGAGCUGCAGAGGCACUCACAGCCCCCGCUGCGGCUCCGUCCCCGGGUGAUUGCAUCUCUCCUAGGUGGGUGUUAAAGGACGGGACCAGACGACCAGAACCAUGGGAGGAAGAGCAGGCAGGCUGCAGGAGAGGAAGGAGGAAGGAACCACAGGAGAGGGUGUGGCGUGAGGCCGAUGGAAACCACAGCUAUCUGUUGGGCAGGAAAGAGAAACCAGAUACAGCUUCCUGGGCAAUGGAACUUCAGAGACAAGCACAGAGUUUGCUGGCAACUCCAGGAGGCUGAAGCCACCAUUCCCGCAGCCUUUGGGGGGCUGUCUCAGGAGCUGAAAUGGGCCAGUUACAAACAGAAUUGGUUCUGCCGUCAUAGAAAACCACAAAAGCAUAUGUGUUUUCAGACACAAAAGCUACCACACUUUCUUUAGAAAACAAGGCACAGGUGAAAAAAAAAAAAUCUCACUUCUAAACAGAAUGGAAAGCAUGGCUAACUUGAGAUUUAUUUAAUUACAGUGUCUUUCUCCGGGCUAAUCAGUUUUAAAACCCAUUCAUAUUGGUGCCGAUGAGCCAAUAAAAGAUCCAGAAGAAAAGAAGUAUUAUAUCA
rnacentral:lncRNA from 1 species